rnacentral:rRNA from 1 species
UAGGGAAUCUUCGGCAAUGGACGAAAGUCUGACCGAGCAACGCCGCGUGAGUGAAGAAGGUUUUCGGUAUCGUAAAACUACUGUUGGUAGAGAAGAACGUUGGUGAGAGUGGAAAGCUCAUCAAGUGACGGUAACUACCCAGAAAGGGACGGCUAACUACGUGCCAG